CAACCUAAUUAGCUGAGACUUCUUUUUUUUGGUUUUCUCUCUAGGAUUUAGCCGUACGUGGUGGAGGCUUUGGGUGGAGCUCGGAUCGUUGCCAACGUCGCGCCGAGGAGCCGUUUGAUCGCGCAAGCAUCAUAAUCGUAUCGUUGGGAGGCCGGGCGAGCGCGUGGUUCCGCUUCUUUCGACGUCUCGCUGUCGUGGAGUCGCGGUUGAGAGCUAUCUUCGUCGGCUGCUGCUGUUGCUGAUUCGGAUCGUGGAAAGGGCGCUGUGAGCUAGACCCUCUCCAUUUGCUGCAGACUAGAGAUUUACCGGCGACAGGUAGUUGUAGUUUUUGGGUUCUUAUACAUACGGAUGUUGUUUCUCGCUGGAGCGAGUCUUUUUUAUACUAGGAUAUGAUGUAUGUAUAGUGGACCUCUGUUAUUAUAUAUGUUUUCUCUUUUAGCAGCUCUAUA